rnacentral:lncRNA from 1 species
UGGAUAUAAAAUUCGAUUUCAUGUUAUUUGAUUUUUCCUUCGACUCUCGCCUUUUCGAGCAAAAAUAUCCUUCAUCGAUUCUGACAAGUAUUGUCAUUGUUCUAAUCUGAUCGUCGUACUAAAGAAGACCGUGUCUAAAUGAAAAUUAAAGGUGAAGUAGAAAUAUAUUUUUCAUUUUUAUAUAAAUAUUUGGUGAAUAAAUAUAUUUCAAACAUAUCAAGUACACACAAUAUAAACACUAAUCCAAUAUAAACUAUAUGAUAUAUCAAUAGACUAUGUCGUAUAGGUCAAGUGUAUACUGUAUAGUAUAUACAAGCUGUAAUGCUGGUGACAUUCAAUAUUAACUGUAGAUACAUGCUAUAAACUGUUAACUGUACUGUAUGGACUGUUGACGUCUGUACUGUGUUAAUAAUUUUUAAUAUAAUAAUAUUUAUACACCAAAAAUUGGAAGGUGUAAUACCCACACCCCAAGGAUAGGUGGGACAUUAGCCGUCUUGCAGUAUGUAAUUAUAUAUAGGCAGAAAUGGUCUCGAGUACUGGUGCAACUCAAUGGGUUAAACUAAUAUCUAAACAUAAUGUUUGUAACUCCACAAUUUACAUACUAGGUGUAACGAGUCUGCAAUGCAGUGAGAAUCAAACCCAUAAUUUAAUUUACGUCAAAUAAAUUUUUAAAAUAUUAGGUCACAAUUUCCAAACUUUGCCUUGGAUGCAGUUUUUCUGGAAUGAUCCGGCAUUUUCAAUCAAAAGUGCAAAUUGCCAUGAAUUCCAAUGCUCUACUGAAAGUUGUGGGUUUUCUCCAGGCACUGCAGUUCCCUAUCACAAUGACUGACCAUAGUUGUGCUCCAUGGUUAGACAUUAAUCGUAAGGUGGCUGCCGGAGGUACCCUUUGAAAGCCUUUGACUCAAUCGUGUUGAGGUUGUGUCCUUCAAUUUACAAUUCAGCUUAGCUUUCAGCUGCGAGGAUAAUUAGCACACUGCCACUGUACUUGUCUAUAUACAGUGGUGAUGUUAGGAAUUCACUGACAAGGGGGGUAAGGUUCUUGACAGGAGGAGCUAAGCAGUGACAGGGGGGUGAGUUCUUGAACUAGUGUUUAGGCGUAAAAAUGUUUUUAGGCGUUGUAAGUGUUUAGGCGUUCCGGUUCCCGACCGACCCUAUUUUUUUCUGCCGACCCUAUUAUUUUUUCAACGCAAUUGACCGUGCGACCCUAUUUUCUCCAGGUGGUUGCGGGCUGCUCAUACAGUGUGCCAAAAUGGCGUCUGUUGUCACACUAAUUAUUGAACCAAAUUGCCUAAAUUCGUCCAUAGGAAAUACGCAUCUCUAGUUAAUAUUGAUGUCGGGACUCUACUGCAAAUCGCCCAGCAAAAAAUCGCCAAAACCAUGAAAAAAAUAUUCAAAAAAAAAUUUAUUUCCGACCUACCGACCCUAAUUUUUUCACAAUAUGAAACCGGAACCACAGGGGUUUUUUUUACGCCUUAACAUAUUUUCUUUCCCAACAAUGUGGACCCACAGUAAAAUGGCCUUAGUGGACCGACAAUAAAUGACCCUAGCUGUUGCAGGCUGGCUCCAAGCUUGAAAGGCAAGUUGUAAAUAAAUAAAUAAAUAAAAUUGCUAACUUUUCCCCAAUGGGGGCUGGGUCUUGGGGUCCCCAACUGGGGUUGUAGAUUAGCCCCAGCCCUCCUCUGGCUCCACCCCUAGGUACCUAUAUAGUUACAAGACUAGUAUAUAGUGUGGUUAACUUAUUAAAUACCAACUCAGAAACAUUUUCAGCACUUUAUCAUGAUUGACCUCUCCCGAAUGUGACAUGGCUGUUUCUUGAGUUUAUGUGGGAACAUGGUGAUUUCUUUUUGUUCAAGACAUUGCUGUAGAUGUGGACGCAUCUGGCUCUGCUCAAAAAUGACUGCUCCAGGAUAUAUUCCAUUAGCAAGAGCUACUGCAUUGGCUAUGGCAAAUAAUCCACAGUCAACAAAACCUGACUGCUUCUGGCAGCACCGGAGUUUCACGUGCAACAGACAUCCUUUUGCCAGACUCUUGUAUACAUAUACCAACUGUUUACACAAAGGACUUGUCAGUCCAGGAUACAGAGAGUCAUAGACAAUCACUGAUUGUCCAUUUGACUGAGAUACAAGCCAAUGUCCAGGAAUGUUAUGGAUCUGAAUAAUGUUCGACAUUGAAGUUGAGGAACCUUUACUAGGAAGUUGAUUUGAUACUCUUAAAGUAUCUGUCAAGCCACUAAUGUUAGGAAAUUGGUUUUUUAAAAGAAUUUGGGCUGCAUUGAUGUGGUUAUCAUUAAGAAGUUUUCCAGAAGUAAGUGCUGUUUUAUCUGCCAGAGAUAAAGUCAAAUUGGCAAGACAUACCCAGGGCUGUUUUGGUGGAAGACUUUUGCACGGCUUUUUACUGGGUGAGCUCAGGUCUAUUAUAUCUGUUCUUGACGAUUUUCUUUUCUUAGGCUUUUCUGCAGCUAGUGGCACAUGCACUUUGUAGUUUUUUCUCAUAAUUUCAGAAUGCUUCCCAACUCGGCCAGUGUAGGGAUGUUUCGGGCGGCCAUAUGAUCUUUUCAUUAGUGUUUCAAUGUUCCUCUGUUUCUUUUGACUAGUUUUCGUGUUGGUGCUAUUUGUUUUUCUAAUGGGAUUCCUCUUCGGGUGCGUUGUUUGUAUGAUAAUUCCUGUUUCCUGUGGUGCUUCUUUUAAUGUUGCUUCGAGAUCAUUAACAAGGGAGGAAAGUUGCUCCUUGUCAUCUAUAAGAAAUGUCAGGCUUGAAAGUUCUUUCAUUAAAUUUCGGCAUUUAAGACGAAGAGCAUUUUUGCCACUAGUCCUUUUAGGUGGUAGUGGUGCAAAAUCAUCGCUGUCCAUUGUAUCUGUCUCAUUCAUUAUGGUUCUUGGUGGUGUAUGCUGCUGAUCUGUAUUUACUUGAUUUUUAGGUGGGGUGUUGUCUGUUGUAAAGAAAUCUUGGCAGUUCCUCAUUGUAAGCACGGUAGCCAUCAUGGCAUUUCACAUUUAACUCAACAUACCUAAGGUCACAGACAAAAGCAUUUGUUAAAUAUACUGCAUUUCUAUGCACUUCUUUAAAAUACAUUUUAGGGAUGGUGAACACACAAUGAUAAGAAAAUAAACUCGUGACUUGGUUUACAGUACAGCAUGUAAAGAACACCUCACAAUGGAAUCACAUCUGUGAUUUACUAAGUAAGUCCUUUAGAUUGAUUACUUUUUACAGUAUAGGUGAGGUACUGAAAAUUUCUUACUUUCUGAAAGUUUUUGGAAGAAACUGAUUGACAAGAACUUUUACCAUGUCACUUAGAGAGCAUCCUUUAUUCCCCAACAGGUACUCGUAUUUAAACGACCUAUUUUGUCUUUCAAUACCGUUGUUGGUGUUGACUGCACAAAUGAAAUCUUCCGCCCGAUACGCUUGGCACCAUCUCUGUAAGAAUAAGAAUAUGAUUUACCUUAAGUGGUACAGUACAGUUUUGGCUAAAAAAGGAAACAAACUUUUAGUGGGACGUGAUUUCAGGCUGGGCAAUACCGUUUUCAGGAUUUCAUAAUCAUAUCAUAUUAUUUCAAGUAGCUAGUACUAAUUUCCCCCUCAGUCUAGUCCCCAUGAUGGCUGUAUACCUUGAUGUUUGGCAGCCACUUGUUACCAAACCAAUUCCUUAAUUUGGGAUUUUCUUUCCAAAAUUUGCUCUCUGUAAGGGCUGCGGUUGACUUUCGGCAUUCUUCAGACGUAGCUGCACGUGCGAUGUUCCGUAAUAGGCUGAGUACUUCUUGCUUGUCUUGAGCAACGCCAUUGUCAAGUUUAGAUGUCCACUCUUGCCAUGACUUCUCUCGAUGAAAAUCACAAAGAAGUACUUCUGUAUCUACAGUAAUACAUGACAUGUAAAAUAUGUAUUUUAGGUAAUGUUAAAAAUAUGGGUACAUUUACCGUACAUGGAUCAGUUUCCGGUAAGUGACUUUAGCAGAUUCAAAUUCAAAGUAAUAUCCUAUCUAUAUACAUUCUGAAAACUUGUGCCAUAUAUUUAUUGAUAUUUUAGAAUGUGGCGAACUGCGAACAAGCUGUUUAAACGCUCACGGGAAAAAAUCAUCUUAAUCCAGAAUCAAGUCCAAUUUAAAGCUCCAUAUUUUUCUAUACCCCACACAUAUGUAGAAAGAGAUACGCAAGGAAUAUCGCUCUGUGUUAAGUCUGUUAAGAAGCGCCUACUUGCAUUUAUAUAUGUACCGCUACAAAAGUAAUGGUUUGAGUUCAAACAGCUUUUCCCGUUGGUACAUUUACUUACCUGAAAAGACUGUUUCAAGAGCUUGAAUUUCUUCCUCUGCAAAAUCCACCAUAAAACGCAAAGGAUUCCAUGUAUCUUUAUUCCACUCCUUGAACACCAUUAAUGCUUCUGUUAUACAUUCAAUAUUUUCGUACUGUAUGACAAAUGAUCCCACCACCUGAUAACACACAUUUGUUCUGACACACAGGAAAUACAGUGGAAGGUCAUAUUUUGUUGUUCUGUACGUUGCAUCAAGCAGGCACAUUUGGUUGCCAUACCUGGUCAGGAGAUGUCGUUGAUCGCAUGUCUGAUGGCAGAACAGUAAUGUUUGCGUGGAUUCCUCGAGACUAUCAUCGGAGACGGUAUCUCCAUCUUGAUCCUGGAUAGAGUCAUCUGAUGCCGUCUUCGUUGAAUGAGGACGGUAAAGGAAAGAAUCUUGUGGAUUCCUGGCACAGAAUAAACACUUGAAGUCCCACUUUGGGCGUAACCGUUGCAACGGUUACACCAUGUCCCUAGCGUGUGCGCUUACGAAAGACUCCCCCCCCCCUGAACGCCUACGCCAAGCCGCCUAUUUGGAACGUUUUCAGGGAGAUGGCGACGUCUUCUUAGCGCACUGGCUAGAGUGCUUUGCGUUUGCAAAUAACAUGGCGUGGUGGCGGUUACACUAACAUCAAAUGCACCACCGACACGAAGUCGGACUUCUGUACAUGUUUAUUCUGUGGUAUUAAAGUGUUUUCUUGAAACGUUGGAUAGGAUAAACUUGCGGUUCACCGGUUGCGAUAAUGUACUAUAUUAAAAUAUUAUCAUUACCAAAUGUUGUCAUUAGUAAUUUAUAAUUCUGCGUCAAUAUUUAUUUUCAUACAUGCAAUUCCCUUUAACUUUUAAACAAAUUGUUACCUUCCCAGUUAAGUGAUAUUGGUGUUCAGAAGGAUGAGGUAACUUUACGAUAUACCGCAUUUCAACACCGUCACUUGCAAUAGUGUUUUCCUUCAAUUUUUCGUGCAAUUGUUUUGCAAUUCUUCUUCUGAAGAAUAUACUGUCUUUUUCAAUCUAAAGAAUAGUGUAUACGUCAUGUUUGCGGGGUUUUAUGUAUGUUAGAAAAAGACUUAUUUUAUCGUUUGUUUACAACAUUUAAAGACCUUCAUUUGCGGAAAUUUUGCAAUUUGUGUGAUGAAAAUUGUAGCUGGGCAUUCUUUCUUUUUAGAUGUCUGAGCAAAAGAUCUUCUCUGGGUAUGGUAACAAUGGUCGGCACCCUGUAAAAUGAAAAGUAAAAUCCGCUUAUUUGUGGAAAGCUGUGUAUGCCUAUUAGUAUUUGCUAAAUGUCUUGUUACCUGACUGCUGCGAAUCUUCUCCUUAUUUUUUUGUUUUGCUUUUUCGUUUUUGUCUUUCCCUUGGUGACACCACAAGACUUUCUCUCCAACAUGCACGAAUGGUAUUCCGUCGUAUGCAAUACUUGGCCCUUGGUUACCAUCCUUUCUCUCCCAGAA